rnacentral:rRNA from 1 species
UACGAAGGGGGCUAGCGUUGUUCGGAUUUACUGGGCGUAAAGCGCACGUAGGCGGAUCGUUAAGUCGGGGGUGAAAUCCUGGAGCUCAACUCCAGAACUGCCUUCGAUACUGGCGAUCUUGAGUCCGGAAGAGGUGAGUGGAACUCCUAGUGUAGAGGUGGAAUUCGUAGAUAUUAGGAAGAACACCAGUGGCGAAGGCGGCUCACUGGCCCGAUACUGACGCUGAGGUGCGAAAGCGUGGGGAGCAAACAGG